rnacentral:guide_RNA from 1 species
ACAAAAUCAUCAGGGAUACUUAGUAAGAUUGUGAAAGUUAAGUU